rnacentral:rRNA from 1 species
AGAGUUUGAUUCUGGCUCAGGAUGAACGCUAGCUACAGGCUAACACAUGCAAGUCGAGGGGCAGCAUGCAGGUAGCUUGCUAUCUGUGAUGGCGACCGGCGCACGGGGUGCGUAACACCGUAUCCAACCUACCCGCGGCGUCGGGGAUAGCCUUUUCGAAAGAGAGAUUAAUACCCGAUGGUCUAUGGUACAGACAUCUGUUCCAUAGUAAAGAUUCAUCGGCGGCGGAUGGGGAUGCGUCCGAUUAGGUAGAUGGCGGGGUAACGGCCCACCAUGCCGGCGAUCGGUAGGGGUUCUGAGAGGAAGGCCCCCCACACUGGAACUGAGACACGGUCCAGACUCCUACGGGAGGCAGCAGUGAGGAGUAUUGGUCAAUGGGCGGGAGCCUGAACCAGCCCAAGUAGCGUGAGGGUACGACGGCCCUACGGGUUGUAAACCUCUUUUGUUUGGGAAUAAAGUCCGCUACGUGUAGCGGUUUGUAUGUACCUUACGAAUAAGCAUCGGCUAAUUCCGUGCCAGCCGCCGC